UUAGAUGAGCCAGAUACAGUAUAGAUCCCCC
rnacentral:piRNA from 1 species